CUCCAGACUCCUACGGGAGGCAGCAGUGAGGAAUAUUGGUCAAUGGCCGGGAGGCUGAACCAGCCAAGUCGCGUGAGGGAAGACGGCCCUACGGGUUGUAAACCUCUUUUGUCAGGGAGCAAGGUGCAGGUCGGGACCUGCUGUGAGAGUACCUGAAGAAAAAGCAUCGGCUAACUCCGUGCCAGCAGCCGCGGUAAUACGGAGGAUGCGAGCGUUAUCCGGAUUUAUUGGGUGUAAAGGGAGCGUAGACGGAAAGGCAAGUCAGAAGUGAAAGCCCAAGGCUCAACCAUGGGACUGCUUUUGAAACUGUCAAACUAGAGUACGGGAGAGGUAAGAGGAAUUCCUAGUGUAGCGGUGAAAUGCGUAGAUAUUAGGAGGAACACCAGUGGCGAAGGCGUCUUACUGGACCGAAACUGACGUUGAGGCUCGAAAGCGUGGGGAGCAAACAGGAUUAGAUACCCCGGUAU
rnacentral:rRNA from 1 species